UGACCUCGAAAAUCCUCGGAAUAAGUUUCCCCUAUAUGUGAAAUAGCUAAAUAACAUUAAUUAAAGCACAUAACAGAAACCUAAAUAAAACGCCCAUAUUUUGCUCAAACCUUGGGUAUAAAUAUAUGAAAUCGAUCUACUCGACGUCACGAACGCGUACGUACCAACCACGCUCCGGCCGGAGGCUGGACGCGCCCCCACGCGCCGCCCAAAGUGGCGGUCCACGCGCCCCCGCGAGUACACUGUACUCGCCUUCUUCGCGAAAAUCUGCAGUUUUGCAGAUUUUUGGGUCAACUUCCAGAGCCCAUAACGAGCUCGAUUCUCAACCAAAUUCACUUC
rnacentral:lncRNA from 1 species